rnacentral:tRNA from 1 species
GCAUCUAUAGCUCAAUUGGAUAGAGCAGUGGCCUUCGAAGCCAUGUGUUAGGGGUUCGAGUCCCUUUAGGUGCACCA